UACAGAGGUCUCAAGCGUUGUUCGGAUUCAUUGGGCGUAAAGGGUGUGUAGGUGGCGCGCUAAGUCGGGUGUGAAAUUUCGGAGCUUAACUCCGAAACUGCAUUCGAUACUGGCGUGCUUGAGGACUGGAGAGGAGACUGGAAUUCAUGGUGUAGCUGUGAAAUGCGUAGAGAUCAUGAGGAAGACCAGUGGCGAAGGCGGGUCUCUGGACAGUUCCUGACACUGAGACACGAAAGCCAGGGGAGCAAACGGG
rnacentral:rRNA from 1 species